CCGGCUUCUCUUUCAUUUCCCUCGGUGCUGCCCUCUCCACGUUGGUCUCUUUCUUUUCGUUCCUUCGAAGACCGUCUGCAGCUUCUGUUUUCAUUUUCCUGUUUUCCCGGACGCCGCAGCUUCUUCUCUCUCUCUUGCUGUCCAUCUUCCCCACCGUUCGAACGCCAGCACCUGCUUCCAUUUUCCCCCCUUCUCGAUCUCGUUUCCCUUGGACAGAACCGCCUCUACCCUUCUUCCUUUUGUUUCUUCAUCUUCGGCCAACUUCUCCCCAUAGUUGACCGAGGCCACUCCAGCAACAGCCACACGUCCUCCUCCACCAGCUCGUCUUCCACCACCGAUUCUCACGCUGCCUCUCACGCCAGCUGACAGUCAACAUCAGCAAGUUCCUUCUUCUUCGUUGACUCCGUGGACGCCAGCAGCACCGCUCGAAGACGCCCACGCCUCCACCAAAUCUUCUCACGCUGCCGCUGCCAGUCAUCCCUUGCGGUUGCUCUUCACGUUCAGCUCAAACCUCCGCAGCCCAGCGUCCUUUCCGAGCCCAGCAAAACCCGAAGUUGAGCCCAGCAGGCCGCAUAUCCCAGCCCGUCAGUUGAGCUCAGCCCAGCCCGCAAUUUUUUCAGCCCAUCUUCAGCCCAGCUUUGGAGCAUCUCAGUUCAAGAGCAAAUCUCAGCUUGGGCUGAGGUUUGCUGGGCCAUUUUCCGGCCAGUCCUAGCUCCAUUGGUGCCGCCGCAAGUCCGAGUUUCAGCCGCUAUCGUGCCACCGUCACAAUGAACUGGUUUCCACAAUAAACUAGUAAGUUUAUGUGCUAAACUCUUCUCAGUUGACUAAUGACGUUUAAGGGGUGUUUAGAUUUAAUUAAGCUUAGAUUAGUAUAAUUGUUAGUUUAUUUAAUUAAUUUAGGUUAGUUAGAUUAGUGAUUUAGGUGGUUAAAAAUUGUAAUUAGUUAGUUUACUAUGUGGCCUAGUAGUUAGAAUGGUUAGGAUAAUUUAAUUAGUUCUAUUGGUGGUUAGAUUAGCAAUUAUAAGCCUAAGUUUGUAUUUAUUGAAUUAAUGUGUAUUUAUUUAAUUAAUUUCAAUAAUUUAUUUAAUUGUUAAUUAUUUUCCAGAAAUUAGACCGGGAUAGCAAGUGAUUGUGCUGAUUGCAAUGGUGUGGUUAAUUUCUACAAUUGAGUUUUGAAUUCAGCGAAUUGUGUAGAAACUAUAAUUUUGGGUAUUUAUUCUAAAAUUAAGUAAUUUCAAUAAUUAAUUAGAAAAUUACCAGGCGUCGAUUUAUAACGCCAAAAAUGUUUUUAUCGAUUGCAUAAAUAGUAGGAUUUUCCAAAAUAAAGAUAUUAUAUUUUUGGCUCAUGCUAACUAUGUGUCCGCACACAAUGAUUUUUAUCAGGUACUUUUAACACGAAGAAAAUAGGCCAUGACAUUAUUUUAAUUAAGGAAUUUAAGUGCGAAGCACAAUGUCUUUAACCAGGAUUGAAUAAUGGAGAAUUCGUCAUCCACUAUGUGUCAGGUGAACGAUGCUUUCAAACGGAAAGCCAUCUUAAGGUGCUCAAUGGGGUGAGACGACACUUAGCUAUGUAAUGGAUAAAUCCGCUAUGUGACAGAUAAAUCCGCUGUACGUCAGAUAGAUCCACUAUGUGAUGGAUAGAUCUGCUAUGUGAUGGAUAAAUCCGCUAUGUGACGGAUAGAUCCGUUGUAUGUCAAUUAAAUCCGCUAUGUGACGGAUAAUUCCACUGUAUGUCAGUUGGAUCCGCCGUGUAACGGUUAGGUCGUGCUUGUGUGACUGUUAUGACUUGAAAUGCAUGAUCGACUAAGGUGUGGUGAUUGGCGGAGAUGUGAUUUGAGACGUUCCAAUUGGUGUGUGAAAUUGGCUAUAUGCAUAUGGUUGUAAUAUGAACUGUGGUAACUUGCAAAGAGGAGCUGAGACGAGGUAAGUCUCUAUGAUUGUGUGAUUGUGUGAUUAUGACACUUUAGGCGUAUUACCCUCCUAAUCAGGGUUUAAAGCGUGAACUUGCUGAGACAUUAUCUCACUGGUUAUUGUAUAACCAUUUUCAGGUCCUUAGUUGGUGGUCUUGGAGGACCAAAGCCCUGGAGUUUGUGGAGGUGGAGUCUAAAGGAUCGACGUCUGUGUCCUACUAGUAUGUUGUAGGAUAGCUUCUUUCGAGAGUCUAUUAUUUUGUAGACUCCUACCUAGACUCUAUAUAAACCCAAUUGUUUAUAAAAGUGUGUUUUUGUGAAAUGUUGCCAUGUUUUUCUAUCCCGAGAUAAUUACUAUCAAGGGAUUUGUUAAUCACUUCCGCAUAUGCAAUAAAAAGAAAGGGUUGGCAA
rnacentral:lncRNA from 1 species